rnacentral:rRNA from 2 species
UAAGGAAUAUUGGUCAAUGGGCGGAAGCCUGAACCAGCCAUGCCGCGUGCAGGAUGACUGCCCUAUGGGUUGUAAACUGCUUUUGUCCAGGAAUAAACCUAGAUACGUGUAUCUAGCUGAAUGUACUGGAAGAAUAAGGAUCGGCUAACUCCGUGCCAGCAGCCGCGGUAAUACGGAGGAUCCGAGCGUUAUCCGGAUUUAUUGGGUUUAAAGGGUGCGUAGGCGGCCUAUUAAGUCAGGGGUGAAAUACGGUGGCUCAACCAUCGCAGUGCCUUUGAUACUGAUGGGCUUGAAUCCAUUUGAAGUGGGCGGAAUAAGACAAGUAGCGGUGAAAUGCAUAGAUAUGUCUUAGAACUCCGAUUGCGAAGGCAGCUCACUAAGCUGGUAUUGACGCUGAUGCACGAAAGCGUGGGGAUCGAACAGG